UACGUAGGGGGCUAGCGUUGUCCGGAAUCAUUGGGCGUAAAGCGCGUGUAGGCGGUCCGGUAAGUCCGCUGUGAAAGUCGGGGGGCUCAACCCUCGAAUGCCGGUGGAUACUGUCGGGCUAGAGUGCGGAAGAGGCGAGUGGAAUUCCUGGUGUAGCGGUGAAAUGCGCAGAUAUCAGGAGGAACACCAAUUGCGAAGGCAGCUCGCUGGGACGUUACUGACGCUGGAGACGCGAAAGCGUGGGGAGCAAACAGG
rnacentral:rRNA from 1 species